rnacentral:piRNA from 1 species
UAAACUCAAAUGCCUGCAGGAGCUGGAUGGA